ACGGAUGGACAGACAGAUGGCGGCCCUCUGCAGGGGGAAGAAGAGUGAGAGCGCUGUGGAAGGGACAAGGAGGUUGCAGUGAGGUGGUUACCGGUCUUUCCACAGCCACAGGACAAGAGGUGACGGCCUCACGUUGUGCCAGGGGUGGCUCAGGUGCUGGGCAUGGCCGCCUCCCAACUUCCUCGUGUUGAGUUUUCCCAUGAGCCGUGAACGCCAAGCAGCCUCUAACCCAGAGCAUCCAGGUUAAUUACUCAUUAAUAGCACUAAAACACCCUUCACAUUCUCCAGGAAAUGUAUUCCAGCCAGCACGAAAGGCAAUGCAAUGCUCUGAUUCAUCCCGGAAUCUAGGAAAACAUCACGGCAAUAAACUGAUAAGGAAGAACAGGUCCGAUGCAGCUCCUCUCCAGCCUGUAAUUAGAGCAGUCUGGAUGGCAAUUAACACAAAGUUCCCACCGGUGUGGCUCAGGGCAUGCUCCCAUCCCAUUGCUCUGCAGCCUGCUAAGCUGCAGUGAGCUUCAGCUCUCCGGAGUGACCAGGAUGGGCAGAUGUCCCCUGGAUACCCCAAGGGCUGCUCCGAAGAUGUUCUGCUGCAAACCUAUGUGGUUUUUCCCAGCGAGGAAGGCUCAGGGCCAGACUCAAACACCCACUGCAGAUGCAGGUUGGGAUCUGCUGCAAUAGCAGUGACUCAGGACUGCACCAUCUCGCCCUGCUGACGGGCUCUGUGUGGGCUCAUCCUGCCCAGGACACCAUCUGCAAGGGCUGGGAGCCACUUGUUGGGCAAAACAGGGGCAGAGGAGAAGCGUUGCUCAACCCGACUUCAUUCACCACCCAUCCCAGAGCACCAUCUCCGUCACCUGCAGCGUAAUUCCCUUUGCAAGCCAAGCAGCACGUCUACUUUCUGCUUUACUUGCUUCCCUCUGCAAAAAACAUUUGCUAACUCCCAUUAUCCAAUAUUUAGCAGUGCACAGCAAUGAACAAAGUGUUAGAGAUGAGAGUACACGCCAUGUGAGGCUGCAUUCAGAAUGCAGAGGCUGUCUGCUGUGGGAAGCAGUGCUCUGUGCAUCUUUCAGGUGCGUUCUGCUCUCAAUCAGAGCCCAAUUAGAAUCCUGUUCUGGGGAAAACAGCUCUUUGAGGCAUAGAGACGGAGCGCUCUACCUGCACAGAGAGUGACUGUUGCUUAUCACAAAGAUAGACACGGCUACCAAAAGGUGCAGGUCAUUAUCUGUCCCAGUUAUUCUCCUUCCACGACCCAAUGUAAUAAAGACCAACCACACCAUCAUCCACAGCCUCCAAUGGUGGCACUACGGGGACCAGGACCCCACGGAUGGAGGUGCCCCCACAUCUCACCCAUUCCCUCGCUUCAUUCCUGAUGCACACGGAAAGCAUCCCCUGCUUUACAGUUCCAGCCACCCACCCCAGCCCCGCAGCCACUCCAGAAAAGCAUCCAUCCUCAUCGUUCCUCUUGGUUUCAAUCCACAAUCCAGAUUUGCCCUCAGACCUCUUGAGUACAUUUUCCCUCUUUUUUUUUUUUUUUUUUUGCUGUUUGUUUUUGAGUCAGGUGUUUUCCAUUCGCUGAUAACGGCGUGUGUUUGUUCCAAGAUCACCUGCAUAAACACAUUCUAGGGGCAGGGGGCAAGGUUCAAGAGUUGAGACCCACGCCGCGUCGGCCAAACCUGUAUUUUGUUCCUUCCAAUUAUACCUCGCCGUAUUAGCAGAUAAUAGCUGUACAUUUAAGCAAAUUAUCUCCAAUAAAAAGGGGACAAUAAUUACACUGUUUGUUUUCUCUCCUUCCAUUGCUGGAAUUAUUCUCUGUUUGCCCAAGGUUAAAUAUUAGCAAGAACCUUUCCGCACCGAUGUCUGCUCCGGUGCCUUUUACUGUUUUAAACCAGCAAGAGUCAGUAAAAGUUUGGGCAAAUAUUAGAUUUGGCAGAGUUUGCUGUUUGUAUCAGGAAACCGAUUGGUGUUAUUGAUUGACAGAUGUGACCAAAUGUUUAGAAAGUCUGUCCUCUAUUGGAUUCUGCUAGGUGUUUCAGCAAACAGCCCUAAUACAAGGCAAACAGAGUUAUUGGAAGAAGUACCAGCCUGUGUUAGCACAGCAAACUGAGGGCUAUGCAAACAGCUUAAAAGAAUCUGGCCACCUUCAUAUAACCUUUGAUGUAGGUAUUGAUCCUUCUGAAGGUGGCAAAAAGUUUGAACAGGGAGCAGAUUGAGUGGGAUCAGAUACAGAUCAACACCGUAAGAAUGUAAAUGUUAUCU